UACGAAGGGGGCUAGCGUUGCUCGGAAUGACUGGGCGUAAAGGGCGCGUAGGCGGCGAUCAAGGUCAGAUGUGAAAUUCCUGGGCUUAACCUGGGGGCUGCAUUUGAUACGUGGUGGCUUGAGUGCGGAAGAGGGUCGUGGAAUUCCCAGUGUAGAGGUGAAAUUCGUAGAUAUUGGGAAGAACACCGGUGGCGAAGGCGGCGACCUGGUCCGUGACUGACGCUGAGGCGCGAAAAGCGUGGGGAGCAAACAGG
rnacentral:rRNA from 1 species